AGAAAAAGAGAGAAGAGAGAGAGAGAAAAGAGAGAGAGAGAAAGAGAGAGAGAGAGAGGAGAGAAAGAAAAAGUAAAUGAAAGAUGAAAAACGGAUAGAGUCGAUCGUUAACUCUGAGAUUAAUAAUUAUUAAUUACGUACGUAACACGAAUUUGUGAGCCGAGUUAACAAACGGCACUUGCUGUUAUAAUAAUGACGAACGAAAAGAUAAAAAUGAAAAAAAGAACAAAAAAAAAGAACAAAAAAAAAGAACAAAAAAGAAAAAAAAAAAAGAAGUGGAGGGAGAAAGAGAGAAAGAGAGAAUGAGUUGGAAGUGGGAUAGUAGAGAGGAUAGUGAAAAAGAAAUGACGGGAAAGUAUAUAAUUUUUCAAACGUAACGGAGGAUCUAAGUCGAUAUUAUGAUAUUUGUAUACAUACGUACAUACAUGUAUAUAUUCGUAUAUAUAUAUAUACAUACAUAUAUAUAUAUAUAUAUAUAUAUAUAUAUAUAUAUAUAUAUAUAUAGUUACUUCCGAAUUCGUUUGUGCAAAAAGUCGUUUGCGAAACGAUUGAGAUGAAUUGGAAAAAGGAUUGAUGGUUAUUUAUAAAGAGAGAAAGAGAGAGAAAGAGAAAAAGAGAGAAAAAGAGAGA